rnacentral:misc_RNA from 1 species
GUUUUUGGUUGUUGGAUGUGAAGAAGGCAGAGACUUCCAAGGAGAGAGAGGGAUUGAGAGGCAGGAAUGUAGCUUUUGUAGGCGUAUGUUGAGUUCAAUUAUUGGAUUAUGAUUUCUAGUCUGUUUGUCUGAGGGGCUGCGCUGUGCCUUUUCAAUGGGAUUUUGCUUUGAAUGUACCUCUCACUCUCUCCUCUUUUCUCUUUUCUUUUGAAUUACAACUCAACAUGUGCAAUACACAAUGGUGGAAAU